rnacentral:rRNA from 1 species
UACGAAGGGGGCUAGCGUUGCUCGGAAUGACUGGGCGUAAAGGGCGCGUAGGCGGUUCGUACAGUCAGACGUGAAAUUCCCGGGCUCAACCUGGGGGCUGCGUUUGAUACGUGCGGGCUUGAGUUCGGAAGAGGGUCGUGGAAUUCCCAGUGUAGAGGUGAAAUUCGUAGAUAUUGGGAAGAACACCGGUGGCGAAGGCGGGUCUCUGGGCCGAUACUGACGCUGAGGAGCGAAAGCGUGGGGAGCGAACAGG